UGACUGAUGUCUUUGAUGCAACAUUUCAACCAUCCACAAUAUGCCUGAAAAUUCAACAUGAGAUGAAACAAUGUAUGUAUAAUCAAAAACUCACGGAUUCAAGAGUCAAACUAGUCAGAUCCUUUCUCCUACCGUCCUCGAGAAUUG
ensembl:ncRNA C01B7.11 ncRNA